AGGGCUUGACAUGUGGGUGAAAGGUAUAGAGAUAUACCCCUCUCUUUAUGAGACAUCCAUACAGGUGGUGCAUGGUUGUCGUCAGCUCGUGUCGUGAGAUGUUGGGUUAAGUCCCGCAACGAGCGCAACCCCUAUACUUAGUUACCAGCGAGUGAUGUCGGGGACUCUAAGUAGACUGCCGAUGACAAAUCGGAGGAAGGUGGGGAUGACGUCAAAUCAUCAUGCCCUUUA
rnacentral:rRNA from 1 species